rnacentral:rRNA from 1 species
UCUUAGUGGCGGACGGGUGAGUAACGCGUGGGUGACCUGCCUUAUACAGGGGGAUAACACUUAGAAAUAGGUGCUAAUACCGCAUAAGCGCACGGGGCUGCAUGGCCCAGUGUGAAAAACUCCGGUGGUAUAAGAUGGACCCGCGUCUGAUUAGCUUGUUGGCGGGUAACGGCCCACCAAGGCGACGAUCAGUAGCCGGCCUGAGAGGGUGGACGGCCACAUUGGGACUGAGACACGGCCCAAACUCCUACGGAAGGCAGCAG